rnacentral:rRNA from 1 species
AUUGAACGCUGGCGGCAGGCCUAACACAUGCAAGUCGAGCGAGCGGCGGACGGGUGAGUAAUGUCUGGGAAACUGCCUGAUGGGGGGGGAUAACUUCUGGAAAAGGUGGCUUAUAACGCGUACCAUCGGAUCUGACCAGAUGGGAUUAGCUAGUAGGUGGGGUAACGGCUCACCUAGGCGACGAUCCCUAGCUGGUCUGAGAGGAUGACCAGCCACACUGGAACUGAGACACGGUCCAGACUCCUACGGGAGGCAGCAGUGGGGAAUCUUGCACAAUGGGCGCAAGCCUGAUGCAGCCAUGCCGCGUGUGUGAAGAAGGCCUUCGGGUUGUAAAGCACUGUCAGCGGGGAGGCGUUACCCGCAGAAGAAGCACCGGCUAACUACGUGCCAGCAGCCGCGGUAAUAC